rnacentral:rRNA from 1 species
AACGAACGCUGGCGGCAUGCCUAACACAUGCAAGUCGAACGAGACCUUCGGGUCUAGUGGCGCACGGGUGCGUAACGCGUUGGAACCUGCCCUUAGGUUCGGAAUAACUCCCCGAAAGGGGUUCUAAUACCGGAUAAUGUCUUCGGACCAAAGAUUUAUCGCCUUUGGAUGGGCCCGCUUUGGAUUAGCUAGUUGGUAGGGUAAAAGCCUACCAAGGCUACGAUCCAUAGCUGUUCUGAGAGGAUGAUCAGCCACACUGGGACUGAGACACGGCCCAGACGACUACGGGAGGAAGCAGUGGGGAAUAUUGGACAAUGGGCGAAAGCCUGAUCCAGCAAUGCCGCGUGAGUGAUGAAGGCCUUAGGGUUGUAAAGCUCUUUUACCCGGGAUGAUAAUGACAGUACCGGGAGAAUAAGCUCCGGCUAACUCCGUG